UACGGAGGUGGCUAGCGUUGUUCGGAAUUACUGGGCGUAAAGGGCGCGUAGGCGGCAUUGCAAGUCGGAUGUGAAAGCCCCGGGCUCAACUCGGGAAUUGCAUCCGAAACUGCUUUGCUUGAGUCCUGGAGGGGGUAGUGGAAUUCCCAGUGUAGCGGUGAAAUGCGUAGAUAUUGGGAGGAACACCGGUGGCGAAGGCGGCUACCUGGACAGUGACUGACGCUGAGGCGCGAAAGCUAGGGGAGCGAACGGG
rnacentral:rRNA from 1 species